rnacentral:rRNA from 1 species
GCCUACGACCAUAUCACCCUGAAUGCGCCCGAUCUCGUCUGAUCUCGGAAGCUAAGCAGAGUCGAGCCUGGUUAGUACUUGGAUGGGAGACUGCCUCGGAAUACCAGGUGUUGUAGGCU